rnacentral:sRNA from 1 species
AUAUCUCUCCGUACGGGAAGGAUGAGAAGCUUCGACUAAGGUUCGAUUCGAGCGAAAGCGAGAAAGCGUUGCCAACGGCAACG